UUGAGACACAUGGAAACCCUACGCAGAAAAUUCCCCAUCCACACAUCCUAGCUCCCAGCCGCCAGCCCACCGUCCUUCACCACAGCCGCCGCCGCCAGCCCACCCCUCCCCACCGUCCUCGCCCAUGGCAGCCUCCCCACCGCCGACCUCGCCCGCGGCCAACGCCCUCCUCUACAUCCUCCGCCCCGAAGGCCGAGGUCGUUCCCGUCUCUCGCCCUUGUGCGUGCGCAUUCGUCGUAGCCAAGCGUGAGGAGGGGUCGGGUCAGUUGCUUCUUCCCUUCUCGCUUCUCCCGUCCCCAUCGCCUCGCCGCGUCUCUCGCCUUGCCCCUUUCCAUGGUAAACUCAGGUGCAUUGCGAAACUAUUUCUGGAGGUCGUCGCUGCCGCAUUAGUCACCGGAUGGUGUUCCCCUGUUCCGUUGUAAGUGAAAAACACUACUUUUUCAGAGAGGCUAUCUCCCUACCUCUGGCCGGAAUCGAUAUUGGGUCUUCUGUUUACCUCCGAGACGAGUUCCCAAGAAAUCCUAUUUGUUUAUUGCCUUUUUGCAUUCUUUUGCAGUGUAUGGAUUUAUUCAUUUUUCAUGUUGCAAGAAAUGGCUUUGUUCUCUAUGCUAGCUCACAGUUUAGAUGCUACUGCUAGGUGUGCUAUUAGCAAUCACAUUGGUAGAUCACUGAAAAACUGAAAAGAUUAAUGUCACUGUAAUUUUCAUCCUUGCUAGGUGCUUCAGGAUAUGCAGUGUAUGCAUCUUGACUCUUUUUCCUUGCUAGGUGCUUCAGGACAUGCAGUGUAUGUAUGUGAAGAUGUACUCUUCUUCUUAGAUCACUGGAUGCUAUUUGCCCAGUACUGUUCGAGGCCCAAUUCAGAGUUACGUAAUAGGCUGACGGAUUUCCCUUAGAGAAAAAUAAACUAUCAUUUACUGCUUGGAUCACCACGUAUGACGGUGGCUGGCGUUCGUUUUUCUCUCAUCCCGCUCUUCCCUGGAUCCAACUCUCAAAGCACCAUGCUAAUUAAUUGCUAUUGCCGUUGGUCAUGAUUAUUGCUGCUAUUUUUUUCAUCUUCCUAUGGAUUUGUUUCCUCCUAUAAAUACUUCCCAUCCCAGUGCCAGUACGGUUAGAUGCAGAUUUACAUCAAUUUCCAAUUAGCCAAAGCAAAAUAUAAUCUGAUGGUUCAAGGUCUCAAAGAAUUCAUGUAUCUUUCACAUUCUUUCUUCUUUGGCCCUUGUACUGUGGUCUAUUGUUGGUUUUCCACUGAAUCACUAGUCUUUUUUCUACACAUACAAUGUGUUCUUGUGCAGGCGCUGCUUUCAGGAGACGGUUAGUCCGGAACAGACGAGUGAAGAUCAUUGCUGGAUAGUUUCAUAGUUCGAUUUCUACCGGUCUAACAGGUUCAUGUCCUCUGGCUAUCUUUCUGUAAGUAUAUUUCCUAAUAAGCAUCUCUGAAUUGUCUAGUUGUAAAGAAAAAAGGAUAUCACAUUGCAGGAGGCAUGAAACCAAGUGCCAGAUUAUACAGUUUCAUAUAUACUUUUCUGGUUUUAUUCAUAUAAAAUAUGGUGUGUCCACAAAUGGCACUACUGCAUGAGAUGCAUUAAUUCUGAAUAUGCAUGUCUAGGACAGUACUACUCCAGUAAUAAUAUAUGUGUCACAGUGAGCUGAGUUCCAACAUAUUCAGUCAAUGCUCUGUGCUGUCUAUGUAUUUAAAUUAGUGGCUGCUGCCAGGUAGUAUGUUGGUUUUAUGUGACUUUGUGCUGGCCGGCUAUAAUUUAACAUGGGCUGAUUUGGCAUCUACAUGUUGUUGUUCAUCAUUAAUUUCGUACAUGACUUUGUAGGACAUGACUUUGUAGGGGAACUACUGUGCAUCCGAAGGAGGAUAUCACUAGUCCACUUGCAGUUCAACUAAUGAUCGACCAUCUUAUGGUAUUUUAGAAAUAGUGAAAUGUGAAAUGGCAUGUGUGUCGAUGAUGCUGCUGAUCAUGAACCUAGGUAACAUAGAAAUGUGUGUAUUUAGUCGUCAUUGCUCUGUGCAAUGUGAUCGAUGAGAAUCAGAGUGGUGUCAUGUAUAUUUAGAAAUGUUAUUGCUUUUGAGCAAGUUCAUUACAACUUUUCAUAUGUAAUUUACUGGAUGUUGAAUGAUGGUUCAGUUGAUUUAUAUGUAUGUAAACAUUAAUUUUGGAUGCCUUUCCUAA